rnacentral:rRNA from 1 species
UACGUAGGGCGCAAGCGUUGUCCGGAAUUAUUGGGCGUAAAGAGCGCGUAGGCGGUCCGAUAAGUCGGCUGUGAAAGUCAGGGGCUCAACCCUUGAAAGCCGGCCGAUACUGUCGGGCUAGAGUGCGGAAGAGGCGAGUGGAAUUCCUGGUGUAGCGGUGAAAUGCGCAGAUAUCAGGAGGAACACCAAUUGCGAAGGCAGCUCGCUGGGACGUUACUGACGCUGAGACGCGAAAGCGUGGGGAGCAAACAGG